rnacentral:rRNA from 1 species
AUUGAACGCUGGCGGCAUGCCUUACACAUGCAAGUCGAACGGCAGCAUGAUCUAGCUUGCUAGAUUGAUGGCGAGUGGCGAACGGGUGAGUAAUACAUCGGAACGUGCCCUGUAGUGGGGGAUAACUAGUCGAAAGAUUAGCUAAUACCGCAUACGACCUGAGGGUGAAAGUGGGGGACCGCAAGGCCUCAUGCUAUAGGAGCGGCCGAUGUCGGGUUAGCUAGUUGGUGAGGUAAAGGCUCACCAAGGCGAGGAUGAGUAGCUGGUCUGAGGGGACGAUCAGCCACACUUGGACUGAGACACGGCCCAGACUCCUACGGGAGUCAGCAGUGGGGAAUUUUGGACAAUGGGGGCAACCCUGAUCCAGCAAUGCCGCGUGUGUGAAGAAGGCCUUCGGGUUGUAAAGCACUUUUGUCCGGAAAGAAAUCGCACUUACUAAUAUUAGGUGUGGAUGACGGUACCGGAAGAAUAAGGACCGGCUAACUACGUGCCAGCAGCCGCCGUAACAC